CAGCCGCCGCGGGAAUACGUAGGUGGCAAGCGUUGUCCGGAAUUAUUGGGCGUAAAGGGCUCGCAGGCGGUUUCUUAAGUCUGAUGUGAAAGCCCCCGGCUCAACCGGGGAGGGUCAUUGGAAACUGGGAAACUUGAGUGCAGAGGAGGAGAGUGGAAUUCCACGUGUAGCGGUGAAAUGCGUAGAGAUGUGGAGGAACACCAGUGGCGAAGGCGACUCUCUGGUCUGUAACUGACGCUGAGGAGCGAAAGCGUGGGGAGCGAACAGGAUUAGAUACCCCAGUAGUCCCUGUCUCUUAUAC
rnacentral:rRNA from 1 species